rnacentral:rRNA from 1 species
UACGUAGGGUGCAAGCGUUGUCCGGAAUUAUUGGGCGUAAAGAGCUCGUAGGCGGUUUGUCGCGUCGGCUGUGAAAACUCGGGGCUCAACCCCGAGCCUGCAGUCGAUACGGGCAAACUAGAGUGUGGUAGGGGAGAUCGGAAUUCCUGGUGUAGCGGUGAAAUGCGCAGAUAUCAGGAGGAACACCGGUGGCGAAGGCGGAUCUCUGGGCCUUACCUGACGCUGAGGCGCGAAAGCUAGGGGAGCGAACAGG